rnacentral:rRNA from 1 species
UGUGAAGCCCUUAGAAGUUUUGGGCCGCCCGCGCGGUACACUGACAGAGCCAGAGAGUUUAUUUCCUUGGCCGGAAGGCCUGGGUAAUCUUGUGAAACUCAGUCGUGCUGGGGAUAGAGCAUUGCAAUUAUUGCUCUUCAACGAGGAAUGCCUAGUAAGCGCGAAGUCAUCAGCUCGCGUGAUACUCCUGCCCU